CCUGCCAGUAGUCAUACGCUCGUCUCAAAGAUUAAGCCAUGCAUGUGUAAGUUUAAAUAGUAAACGGUAAAACUGCGAAUGGCUCAUUAUAUCAGUUAUAGUUUAUUUGAUGAAUACUUCAUAUUUCAUAUGAUUUUACUAUUGGAUAACCGUAGUAAUUCUAGGGCUAAUACAUAUUUUUAAUCUCAUUUCUUUGAGUAUAUUUAUUAGUAUGAAAACCAUAAAUCAUUUUAUGAUUUAUUUGUGAGUAAUAAUAACUUAUAAUAUCGUAUGCUUAAUUUUUAUAAGUAACGAUAGAUCUUUUAAGUUUCUGCCCUAUCAGCUUUGGAUGGUAGUGUAUUGGACUACCAUGGCAGUAACGGGUAACGAAGAAUUUGGGUUCGAUUUCGGAGAGGGAGCCUGAGAGAUGGCUACCACAUCCAAGGAAGGCAGCAGGCGCGUAAAUUGUCCAAUCCUAAUACAGGGAGACAGUGACGAUACGUCAUAGAGGAGAACAUUUUAUGUUAUCCAACUAAAUUGAGAACAAUGUACAAUAGUUAUCGAUAAAC
rnacentral:rRNA from 1 species